rnacentral:rRNA from 1 species
UGAAAUCUCCGGGCUCAACCCGGAAACUGCAUUGAAAACUAGAUAGCUAGAGGAUCGGAGAGGAGAUUGGAAUUCUCGGUGUAGCAGUGAAAUGCGUAGAUAUCGAGAGGAACACCAGUUGCGAAGGCGGAUCUCUGGACGGUUCCUGACGCUGAGGCACGAAAGCUAGGGUAGCGAAGAGGAUUAGAUACCCUCGUAGUCCUAGCCGUAAACGGUGCACACUCGCUGUGGGCGGAUUCGACCCCGUCCGUGGCGAAGCUAACGCGAUAAGUGUGCCGCCUGGGGAGUACGGUCGCAAGAUUAAAACUCAAAGAAAUUGACGGGGGCCUGCACAAGCGGUGGAGUAUGUGGCUUAAUUCGAUGCAACGCGAAGAACCUUACCUGGCCUUGACAUGUAGUGGACCGGGUGCGAAAUCACCCUUUUCUUCGGAACUGCUACACAGGUGCUGCAUGGCUGUCGUCAGCUCGUGUCGUGAGAUGUUGGGUUAAGUCCCGCAACGAGCGCAACCCCCGUGUUCUGUUGCCACCCGGAUGUAAAUCCGGAGCACUCUGGACAGACUGCCUGGUUUCAGGAGGAAGGUGGGGAUGACGUCAAGUCAGUAUGGCCCUUACGGCCAGGGCUGCACACGUACUACAAUGCCUGAUAUAAUGGGAAGCGAGACCGCGAGGUGGAGCAAAUCCUCAAAAUCAGGCCCAGUUCAGAUUGUAGGCUGCAACUCGCCUACAUGAAGGAGGAAUCGCUAGUAAUGCCGUAUCAGCUACGACGGCGUGAAUACGUUCCCAGGCCUUGUACACACCGCCCGUCACAUCAUGAAAGUCGAUUGUACCCGAAGUCGCUGAGUUAACCGCAAGGAGACAGGUGCCGAAGGUAUGGUUGGUAAUUGGGAUGAAGUCGUAACAAGC